UACGUAGGGUGCAAGCGUUAAUCGGAAUUACUGGGCGUAAAGCGUGCGCAGGCGGUUAUGUAAGACAGAUGUGAAAUGCCCGGGCUUAACCUGGGAACUGCAUUUGUGACUGCAUGGCUAGAGUGUGUCAGAGGGGGGUAGAAUUCCACGUGUAGCAGUGAAAUGCGUAGAUAUGUGGAGGAAUACCGAUGGCGAAGGCAGCCCCCUGGGAUAACACUGACGCCUCAUGCACGAAAGCGUGGGGAGCAAACAGG
rnacentral:rRNA from 1 species